rnacentral:rRNA from 1 species
UACGUAGGGUGCAAGCGUUGUCCGGAAUUAUUGGGCGUAAAGAGCUCGUAGGCGGCUUGUUGCGUCGGUUGUGAAAGCCCGGGGCUUAACCCCGGGUCUGCAGUCGAUACGGGCAGGCUAGAGUGUGGUAGGGGAGAUUGGAAUUCCUGGUGUAGCGGUGGAAUGCGCAGAUAUCAGGAGGAACACCGAUGGCGAAGGCAGAUCUCUGGGCCGUAACUGACGCUGAGGAGCGAAAGCGUGGGGAGCGAACAGG